CUAGUACAAGCCAGAACUGAACUGACAGGAGGCGUUCUCGCUGAAGUUUUCAUGAAAUCCUCUCUGAAGUUUGUGAUUUCUCAGAGCUGCACAGGAGAUUCAUUCUUUUCAGUUCAUCACAAGAUUAUACAACGGCAGAAUGUACAAGAAAUUAAUGCACUGGAGAACAUUUAUGAAGAAACACAGACUGAUGAUAAUAAAAAACACUGUAUGGACAAGAGAGAAAGAGAAAAUGGUGAACAAAAAAGACAAAAAGUUACAAUCUAAUGAACCAAAACAGAAAAAGAGGCAGACUCUAGUCAGACAAAACAGCAUUAAUAGUGGCAAACCAAACUUUUCUUGUGUAACAGAUUCAUUCUGAUGUUUCAGAGUCACACAAGAGUUCUGAGAGUGUUUUCUCUUUUUAGAAAGCAGCAGUUCUGUUUAUCUAACCUGCAAUAUAUUGUAUUUUUGUAUUUUUCAGUAAAUAUUGAUGUAAUCAGUGUUUUGCUUUGUUGCUGAUACAUAGCCAUUUAAAACAUUUUUUAGAAUGAAUAUAACUUUACUUUAACAGAUCUGUACAACUCCAGAAAAUAAACCCGUUCCAAACAAAAAACAAUAAAAAAAUCUAAACUUUU